AUCACCUGGGGAUCAUGUUAAAAUGCAGAUGCUGAUGUAGUAGAUCUAGAGAGGGCCCAAUAUUUUGCAUUUCUAACAAGCUCCCAGGUGAUGCUGA
rnacentral:pre_miRNA from 1 species